rnacentral:lncRNA from 1 species
CCACAUCGAAGCGUUCAAAACAUUUUAUAUUGUUGAUACAGAAAAACUUACUUAGUGUUUUAAAAGAUAAUUUCAUUAUAGGUUAAAGUGAAUGGAAGCUGUGCACCAGGUAGGAAAUCGGAAAAGAGGUGGUGAGUCCAUCGGACUGCUUAAGUACCAAGCUCCCUUCGGAUCCAAUCCUAGACAUGCAUACCGCCAUUGCCACACCUUAACGUCAUGGAUAUUUCUAGGAAACGGAUUUGAUUAAGUCAUUUUUAGGAAAAGUGAUUAAUUUUGGAAAAUACUUUCAUUGUGGAAGCUUUGCUUGUUGUCGUGUUAUUUUGAAAUCAAUUGUUGUUUUUGAAAACGCGCCCUAAAGCUAUCCAAUUUCAACAGUUAAAAUAAGUAAUACCUAUCUUAAUAAUACAUAUUAAAACCAUCAAAAAUAAUUAAGCGGCCUUAUUACAUUUAAAAACCCAAAACUUCAAACGUAAAUAAAAGGAUGUCCAGUUCACCAGAAGAAAAUCAAACUUUCAGAACGGGUAGCCACUCCGAAUUCCCUCACAGCUCCAAGCCCACUAUGGUUGGGGAUUUCCUGCGUGGAUGAAAAUAAAAGGGGUGAGUUUGGGAAAACUCAGUGUGUAAGGAAAACCCAUUCAAAGCCCAAGUCAGCUCAAGCCUAUUGGGCCUAAGCCCAUUCAGGUAACAGUGGUACUGGACCAGAGCCUUUUUCAGAUUACAAUAAACUGGGCCUUAGCCCCUUAUUCAGAUAACAGUAUGGCCCAUAGGCCCAUUUCAAAAUACAUGCAACAUCAAUAACAUAUGCAAGCCCAUUUGGGGAGACUACUCAACCCACCAACCACUACACUCCACCCGUACCAGCCCUACACUCCAUGUGGGGAAUAGCUCAACCCACCCAGCCCAACACUCCACAGUUGCAGCCUUGCUGCUCAGUUAACAGUAAAUUGAGGCAAAGCCUCCAGUAUGUGGACAAGCCACUUUCAGUACUUCCUCCGUCAAUAUCCCAAUCCCAUGCAUCAGAUAAUAACAACAUGGCAUGCAGUAAAUAACAACAGUCAAACAUGCAUUUAGGUCAAUUUAACCCUAGGGGUAUUUCGAUAAUUUAUCUACUAGGGGUAAAAUUGUAAAUUUUCCACUUUUAAAGGUAUUUCAGUAAUUUAUCUAUUUUAGGGUUUUUCAUGCAUAUUCUCACUUUUCACGUACUAACAGAAUCACGUACCGAGGGUUCUUACUGAAUUGGGUCCGUUGGCCCAUCAUUCCAAUUUUGGCCCAUUAAGCCCAAAAAUAUCGAGGGCAUAGAAAUCAUGCACUUUGCAGUCCAAAUUUUGCAGCUUACCGAAAACAUUAAUCGAUUUACCUCACGAGCAUUCGCACACUCGCAAAUCUACAAAAUACCGGUUUUCGGCAUUUCGACAUUUCGACUUUUGCCGAUCCAGACUAAGAAAGAGGGUGUUAGUUACACACCUGUUUGCGACGAUAUGCUGACGAGAUCCACACACGAACUACCUACAAUUGGAUUACUAACACGUUAAUCUAACUAUUCAAAUACGAACUACGUAUUAACCCCUUACAAUAUUCGGCCAACCACACCUACAGAUCAUAGUAAGCUUAUAAGAAAUCAAUAAGCAACUCAUUAACAAAUUUUUUUCAAUAUUAACCACAUAAUCAUAAUUUCACUGCAAGCUGUCUUCUUGAGCAACAGUCACUAAAUUAUUUAUAACUAGAGCUACGAAACUCCAAAUAAAGUUUUGUUAAUUUUCCCUGAAAAUAGACUCAUAUAUCUUCUAUCCAUAAAAUUUUCAGAAUUUUUGGUAUGACCAAUCAAUACCAGAGUUUUCUUAAAGUUUCCCAUGUUUCACUGUUUGACUAAUCUGACCACUCUUCAUUACGAAUCAAAUUUCUCAUUGUACAAAAUUCAAAAUAUGUUCUUGUUUAUUCCAUUUAAAACUAGACUCAUUAAGAUUUAAUUACAUAAUUUAUGUAGCUUCUAACUCAUCUCCCACAAUUUAUGGUGAUUUUCCAAAGUCACGUUACUGCUGCUGUCCCAAGCAGAUUUAUUACCAAAUCACUCUUUCACACCUAACUUGCAUGCUUGUUAUUUAAACAUGUAUAUCACCAAUCAAUCAUCACAUAUCUAUGAUUUUACUUAAGUAUAAUCUCCAUUUCAUCAUUUUAAAGCACAACAUGUCAGCUGAUUUUUCCCCUUAGCAUCUAAGGCACAUGCAUGCUCAUUUGUUUGGCUCAACUUCACCUAUCUUCCAUUUUUCAUCAAAAGAACAUGAAACAACAACCAUUUCCUUCAUUUUAAUUCAUGACUAAAUGCUCACAACACAACUAAAAACCAAAAUAUGCUUCAAGAGUUAAGGUAGAAUCAAGAAGAACUCAUGAACAUCAAGAUAGAAGUAAACUACCAUGAACUUACCUUCAAUUUUCUUCCCCAAGUGACCGAACAUUCAAGAGCUUUCUCCUCUCCUUUCUCUUCUCUAACUUUAGGCUAUGAUGAACAAAGAUGGACAAAACUUUGUUCUUUUC